AGCGACCUCUUCAGUCUAUGAGACGAUCCGAACCCACAGAGCCACUGGAGGAGAGAGGCCUCAUCAUUCAGAGGAAAAUACUGAUUACGCUAAUGUGAAACCACAGAAUUACAGAGCAAGAUGAAGGUAAUUGGAGUCCUCCAUCAACAGAUGAUCCAGUUUGUUCUACGACCAGCAAUAGCUAUAGAUAAUACUGCUGCCAUAUAGGCUUCAAGUUUUGGGCAUUUAUUGUGUGAGAGUUACACUUAUUAUAUAGUAGGGACCUGCUAGGUGCAGAUCCAGGGAGAUAACCUCAUGGUCAGAAACGCCCAAGUCAUAUGCUUUCAUUUGGGUGAUGGGGCGGACUCUGUUAUGACUAAAUCAAGA